rnacentral:rRNA from 1 species
AAAGCGGGGGAUCUUCGGACCUCGCGCCAUUAGAUGAGCCUAGGUCGGAGUUAGCUAGUUGGUGAGGUAAUGGCUCGACCAAGGCGACGAUCCGUAACUGGUCUGAGAGGAUGAUCAGUCACACUGGAACUGAGACACGGUCCAGACUCCUACGGGAGGCAGCAGUGGGGAAUAUUGGACAAUGGGCGAAAGCCUGAUCCAGCCAUGCCGCGUGUGUGAAAGAAGGUCUUCGGAUUGUAAAGCACUUUAAGUUGGGAGGAAGGGUAGUAACCUAAUACGUUGCUACUUUGACGUUACCGACAGAAUAAGCACCGGCUAACUUCGUG